AUCUGAGACAGAGACAGACUGUCACAGGUUCUGUGUAAUCUGAGACAGACAGACUGUCACAGGUUCUGUGUAAUCUGAGACACAGACAGACUGUCCCAGGUUCUGUGUAAUCUGAGACAGACAGACUGUCCCAGGUUCUGUGUAAUCUGAGACAGACAGACUGUCCCAGGUUCUGUGUAAUCUGAGACAGAGACGGACUGACCCAGGUUCUGUGUAAUCUGAGACAGAGACAGACUGUCCCAGGUUCUGUGUAAUCUGAGACAGAGACAGACUGUCCCAGGUUCUGUGUAAUCUGAGACAGACAGACUGUCACAGGUUCUGUUUAAUCUGAGACAGAGACAGACUGUCCCAGGUUCUGUGUAAUCUGAGACAGACAGACUGUCCCAGGUUCUGUUUAAUCUGAGACACACAGACUGUCCCAGGUUCUGUGUAAUCUGAGACAGAGACAGACUGUCCCAGGUUCUGUGUAAUCUGAGACAGACAGACUGUCCCAGGUUCUGUGUAAUCUGAGACAGACAGACUGUCCCAGGUUCUGUGUAAUCUGA